UACGAAGGGGGCUAGCGUUGUUCGGAAUCACUGGGCGUAAAGGGUGCGUAGGCGGCCAUGUAAGUGAGGUGUGAAAUCCCUCGGCUCAACCGAGGAACUGCGCUUCAUACUGCAUGGCUUGAGGGAGACAGGGGUAAGCGGAACUGAUGGUGGAGCGGUGAAAUGCGUUGAUAUCAUCAGGAACACCGGUGGCGAAAGCGGCUUACUGGGUCUCUUCUGACGCUGAGGUACGAAAGCUAGGGUAGCGAACGGG
rnacentral:rRNA from 1 species